rnacentral:rRNA from 1 species
AUGCAUGUCUAAGUACAAGCCGAUUUAAGGCGAAACCGCGGACGGCUCAUUAAAUCAGAUAUAAUUCAUUGGAUCUGUAAAACCCAUUUACUUGGAUAVCUGUGGUAAUUCUAGAGCUAAUACACGCAUUCAGAGUCUCUGACAGCAAUGGAAGAGCGCUUUUAUUAGUUCAAAACCUUUCGGACCUUGGGCCAAACCAAAACCUUGGUGAAUCUAGAUAACUUCGGCUGAGCGCACGAUCAUCCUUAGCCCUCCAAGGCUAACGGAGUCGGCGCCGCAUCCUGCAAGUGUCUGCCUUAUCAGCUCUCGAUUGUAGGUCAAACGCCUACAGUGGCUAUAACGGGUAACGGGGAAUCAGGGUUCGAUUCCGGAGAGGGAGCCUGAGAAACGGCUACCACA